GUUGCCAUCAUUUAUUGGGCACUCUAAUGAGACUGCCGGUGACAAACCGGAGGAAGUGGGGAUGACGUCAAGUCCUCAUGGCCCUUAUGGGUAGGCUUCACACGUCAUACAAUGGUCGGUACAGAGGGUUGCCAAGCCGCGAGGUGGAGCAAAUCCUAAAAAGCCGGUCUCAGUUCGGAUUGCAGGCUGCAAUUCGCCUGCAUGAAGUCGGAAUCGCUAGUAAUCGCAGGUCAGCAUACUGCGGUGAAUACGUUCCCGGGCCUU
rnacentral:rRNA from 1 species